UCUUAAUGGUAGUCUCACUGUCUGUGG
rnacentral:piRNA from 1 species